UACAUUUUCACAAAUGCGGGCUCAUUUUAGAAAAUUGGCAGCACUUGAGUUCAAUUGCGGGCUCUAAACUCAAGUGCGGGCUCAUUUUAGAAACCAGCAGCACAAAGUUAUCUAAAAAUACAAGGGCGAUUUUUUUUUUCAUUUUCCCGCUCCUCCUUCGCUCCUUGCCUCACAUUUGUUUCUCUGCUAGAGGGCGGCGUUGAAGAAAAUCACAGCACACACACUCACCCUUCUCUGUCGUGCCGCCCACCUCUGCCGCGCCGCCGCUGCGCUAUGCUCUUCCUCCUUUCCCCACCGCUGCCGCGCUCUGCUCUCCCCUUAUCACUUCUAGAUCUAGCCUUAGCCAUCGCACCGGUAACAAGAUAUAUUUCUCGAGCUUCUGGGUAAUGGUAAGUAGCUGAUCAACAAAUACAUUUAUCAAUUACUGGGAGAUUUCAAUGGGGUGACAAUAAGUCGAUGGCAACUGGCUGGAAUUGUGAAAUUUACC